rfam:Erinaceus europaeus unplaced genomic scaffold scaffold00628, whole genome shotgun sequence
GUCUAUGGCCAUGCCACCCUGAACACACGCAAUCUCAUCUGAUCUCUGAAGCUAAGCAGGGUGGGGCCUGGUUAGUAAUUGGAUGGGAGGGAGACAGUCUAGGGGGGCACUGCAUUCC